GACGAACGCUGGCGGCGUGCUUAACACAUGCAAGUCGAACGGAAAGGCCCUGCUUUUGUGGGGUGCUCGAGUGGCGAACGGGUGAGUAACACGUGAGUAACCUGCCCUUGACUUUGGGAUAACUUCAGGAAACUGGGGCUAAUACCGGAUAGGAGCUCCUGCUGCAUGGUGGGGGUUGGAAAGUUUCGGCGGUCGGGGAUGGACUCGCGGCUUAUCAGCUUGUUGGUGGGGUAGUGGCUUACCAAGGCUUUGACGGGUAGCCGGCCUGAGAGGGUGACCGGCCACAUUGGGACUGAGAUACGGCCCAGACUCCUACGGGAGGCAGCAGUGGGGAACAUUGCACAAUGGGCGGAAGCCUGAUGCAGCAACGCCGCGUGCGGGAUGACGGCCUUCGGGUUGUAAACCGCUUUCGCCUGUGACGAAGCGUGAGUGACGGUAAUGGGUAAAGAAGCACCGGCUAACUACGUG
rnacentral:rRNA from 1 species